rnacentral:rRNA from 1 species
AUGCAUGUCUAAGUAUAAGCAAUCUAUACUGUGAAACUGCGAAUGGCUCAUUAAAUCAGUUAUUGUUUAUUUGAUAGUAUCUUACUACAUGGAUAACUGUGGUAAUUCUAGAGCUAAUACAUGCCAAAAACCCUUUAUCUUCGGAGCGGGGGUGUAUUUAUUAGAUAGCAAGCCAAUGCCCCUCGGGGCUCUUCUGGUGAUUCAUGAUAACUAAACGUAGCGCAGUGCCCUUCGUGGCUGGCGCAAGAUCAUUCAAAUAUCUGCCCUAUCAAGUUUCGAUGUGAGGGUAGUGUCCUCACAUGCUUUUGACGGGUAACGGGGAAUUAGGGUUCGACUCCGGAGAGGGAGCCUGAGAAACGGCUACCACAUCUACGGAAGGCAGCAGGCGCGCAAAUUACCCAAUCCCGACUCGGGGAGGUAGUGACAAGAAAUACCGAUGCAGGAUCUUUACGGAUCUUGUAAUUGGAAUGAGUACAAUUUAAACCCAUUAACGAGGAACAACUGGAGGGCAAGUCUGGUGCCAGCAGCCGCGGUAAUUCCAGCUCCAGUGGUGUAUAUUAAAGUUGUUGCAGUUAAAACGCUCGUAGUUGAACCUUGGACCCGGCUGGCCGGUCUGCCUCACCGCAAGUACUGCGUCGGGCUGGGUCUUUCCUCCUGGCGAACCGCAUGUCCUUCACUGGGUGUGCUGGGGAAUCAGGGCUUUUACCUUGAAAAAAUUAGAGUGUUCAAAGCAGGCAUUUGCUCGAAUACAUUAGCAUGGAAUAAUAGAAUAGGACGUGUGGUUCUAUUUUGUUGGUUUCUAGAAUCACCGUAAUGAUUAAUAGGGAUAGUUGGGGGCAUCAGUAUUCAAUUGUCAGAGGUGAAAUUCUUAGAUUUAUUGAAGACUAACUACUGCGAAAGCAUUUGCCAAAGAUGUUUUCAUUAAUCAGGCGAACGAAAGUUAGGGGAUCGAAGACGAUCAGAUACCGUCGUAGUCUUAACCAUAAACUAUGCCGACUAGGGAUCGGGCGGUGCUACUUUGAAAUGGCCCGCUCGGCACCUUACGAGAAAUCAAAGUGU